UGACUGGGGCGGUCGCCUCCUAAAGAGUAACGGAGGUGUGCAAAGGUAAGCUCAAAUUAAAAAUAUUUUAAUUGUAGAGUAUAAUAACAUAUGCUUGCUUAACUGUAAGAUUGACAAAUCAAACAGAGACGAAAGUCGGUUAUAGUGAUCCGGUGAUUCUGAAUGGAAAAGGUCAUCGCUCAACGGAUAAAAGGUACGCCGGGGAUAACAGGCUAAUCACUCUCUAGAGACCUUAUCGACGGAGUGGUUUGGCACCUCGAUGUUGGAUUAUCGCAUCCUGGUAUUGUAAGUGAUUCCAAGGGUUUGGUUGUUCGCCAAGUAAAGCGGUACAUGAUCUGAGUUUAGAACGUCGUGAGACAGUUUGGUCCCUAUCUACCACAAGUGUCAAAAAUUGAAAGGAUUAAACCCUAGUACGAGAGGACCGGGAAAAGUAAACCCAUGGUGUGUCGGUUGUUGUACCAACAGCAUAGCCGAGUAGCUAAGUUUAUAUUAGAUAAUUGCUGAAAGCAUUUAAGCGAGAAACUAACCUUGAAACUUAUUUUUUAAAACGUAAUAGACUAUUACGUUGAUAGGCUUAUAUUUUGUGUAAAGGUUGUGAAACUCUUAGCAUAUAAGUACUAAUAAU
rnacentral:rRNA from 1 species